UGCACCUGUAGCCAGCUCCAGGUAGUGCCCUAGGUGGAAGCAGUUACCCCUUUCCUCUGCAAAACAGCAGCAAUUUGCUUUGUGAUCAGACCAGUGGUUCCAACAAGCCUUUAUUAGUGGCAUGAGCUCCUGCAGCCCAUUGCCCAGCAGGUCUGCCUGCCCCUCAUCGCGGCCCGGCCAGCCGGGCUCUGCCCGGGGAGCAGCCGUGAGGGCAGCCCCGCAGUGUCCUCGGCAGCGCUGCGAGACCCCGGCUCUGCUUCCAGGCGCCGUGUGAUGCCAAGCAAAGGAACACAGAGAUGUUACCAGCGGGCACCUCUGCCCGCUUCCGACACGACUGGAAUGAGAGAAUUACAAAAAUACAGCCCUCAACUACUCAGCACAGAGGAAUUUUGUACUAAAGGGAUGAACACAUCCAGGAUCAAUAAAUGAACCACACCCAGGCAAAAUUACCUUUGGGAUCAGGGUAUCUCCCUGUUGCAUGCAGCUUUGGAGAGGUAAAGUCACUUCCUGAAUCUUUGAGAACAGAAAUACCCUUGUCAGAAGAAGAAUUUCAGUGCUUUUACCAGUGAACUGAGUUUUUUGACUGGCAUCAGUGUUUCAUGGUUCACAUAUUUAGCUGACCAACCUAAUAUGCAGUGUGUCAGAUGGAUCAGCAUUCUCUCUGCAGCUGUCAGGCUGUUUUGAAAAACAGACACAGAAGCCAGUACAGGUAAUGAUGUCUGCAGAGGAACAUGAUACCAAGGGGUUGGAGUUUUUAUUCCUACUCUCAAGGGGCUCUCAAGACUUUCAAACUAGAGACUCAAAGCUAUAAGGAGUGCAUCAAGAGCUGUCCUGACAUCUUUUAAAGAGCCUUUCCCUUCAUUGCUGCAUAAAGGUGAACCUAACUCAUACAGAAGACAGCUUGAACAGAAGCAGACAGAGCUGAGCAGCCAGAGGGAGCAUGGCUCGCAGGCUGACCCCUCUGUACAAUAAUACCAGUUGCCAAGCUGUUAAACAACCUCCAGAAAUGCUAUGUCAGUAAAACCAGCUGAGGAAGAGGCCUGUAUCAUUUGAAUUAUGAACGGGACAUGAAGUGGGUUUGACUGGACUGUCAUCAUCUGCCUCUGUUGUGAGCUGAAUGGUUCUUACAAUGCAGUGUUUUCACAGAUUGAGUCAUGUCAAUGAAGUGAGGUAACAGUAUUUCAGUAACAGGGUCAUCACAGAGUCUCUCCAGUGCAAGCGACCUCCAGGUGACAGUGUUAGCUUGACUGAUUGAAAGCAGUGAGAAAACAUUUUGGACAUGUUGUGACACCUUACACAAACAAAGAAACACAGGUGGGGGUUGCAUCCUGAAUCAAAUUAAGUCUGGGAUUUAACUCUUAUUUUUGGAGUUCUAAAACUGAAUGAAACUCAUAAAUUUAUUGUCAGGUGCUUUUAGUACUGAUUUGUAAUCUGUGAAGCUUCAUGCAGAACUUCACUUAAUUUCUCUCAAGAAAUAUCCCACCACAAGGGAUUAAGAAGUUUUUACCAAUAGUUCCAAAUAAAUCCCUUCAUCAUAAAGAAUUAAGUAAAACAAAGAAAAAUUUUUUGGUUUAUAGUAAAUUGAAAUAUUUUCCCAUGGCUUGAGAGUGAGCUAUUCUUAUAAACUAAAUUAUCUACCUGUCUGUCAAGUAAAUGCAUCAAUGUUACAUAUUGUCCUUGACAGAUUCUGGUUUUGCACAAUAUUUCAGUCAUUAACAUGUGUAGUUGCUGGCUCAUGGGAAUAUUUUUCAUAUAUCAUCUUUUGCUUCCCUGA